GUUUACAUUGCCAAAGCAAUGUCUUUCUCUCUCUCUCUUUCCCCUCCCAUUUUAAACGAGGCACGCAAGCAACAGUGUGUUGUAGUGUGUAUCAGGGAAUAACAGUGUGUUGUAGUGUGUAUCAGGGAAUAGUAGUGUGUUGUGGUGUGUAUCAGGGAAUAGCAGUGUGUUGUAGUGUGUAUCAGGGAAUAGCAGUGUGUUGUAGUGUGUAUCAGGGAAUAGUAGUGUGUUGUGGUGUGUAUCAGGGAAUAGUAGUGUUGUGUUGUGUGUAUCAGGGAAUAGCAGUGUGUUGUGGUGUGUAUCAGGGAAUAGUAGUGUGUUGUGGUGUGUAUCAGGGAAUAGUAGUGUGUUGUGGUGUGUAUCAGGAAUAGCAGUGUGUUGUGGUGUGUGUUGUAGUGUGUAUCAGGGAAUAGCAGUGUGUUGUGGUGUGUAUCAGGGAAUAGUAGUGUGUUGU
ensembl:lncRNA